GAUGAACGCUGGCGGCGUGCCUAAUACAUGCAAGUCGAACGCAUUGUGGUUGAAAUGAUAUGAAGAACUUGUUCAGAUUUGAUUUUCAACAUUGCAAUGAGUGGCGAACGGGUGAGUAACACGUGGGAAACCUACCUCUUAGCAGGGGAUAACAUUUGGAAACAAAUGCUAAUACCGUAUAAUAAUUAAAACCGCAUGGUUUUAGUUUAAAAGAUGGUCUUGCUAUCACUAAGAGAUGGUCCCGCGGUGUAUUAGUUAGUUGGUGAGGUAAUGGCUCACCAAGACAAUGAUACAUAGCCGAGUUGAGAGACUGACCGGCCACAAUGGGACUGAGACACGGCCCAUACUCCUACGGGAGGCAGCAGUAGGGAAUCUUCCACAAUGGACGAAAGUCUGAUGGAGCAACGCCGCGUGUGUGAUGAAGGGUUUCGGCUCGUAAAACACUGUUGUAAGAGAAGAAUGACAUUGAGAGUAACUGUUC
rnacentral:rRNA from 1 species